rnacentral:rRNA from 1 species
CCAAAAUGACUUUCGGAACGGAUAUCUCGGCUCUUGCAUCGAUGAAGAACGUAGCGAAAUGGAUACUGGUGUGAAUUGCAGAAUCCCGUGAACCAUCGAGUCUUUGAACACAAGAUGCGCCCGAAGCCAUUAGUCCGAGGGCCGCCCGCCUGGGUGUCACA